rnacentral:rRNA from 1 species
UGGGGAAUAUUGGACAAUGGGCGCAAGCCUGAUCCAGCCAUGCCGCGUGAGUGAUGAAGGCCUUAGGGUUGUAAAGCUCUUUUAGCGGGGAAGAUAAUGACGGUACCCGCAGAAAAAGCCCCGGCUAACUUCGUGCCAGCAGCCGCGGUAAUACGAAGGGGGCUAGCGUUGCUCGGAAUUACUGGGCGUAAAGCGCACGUAGGCGGACUCUUAAGUCGGUGGUGAAAUCCUGGAGCUCAACUCCAGAACUGCCUUCGAUACUGGGAGUCUUGAGUUCGGGAGAGGUGAGUGGAACUGCGGGUGUAGAGGUGAAAUUCGUAGAUAUUCGCAAGAACACCAGUGGCGAAGGCGGCUCACUGGCCCGAUACUGACGCUGAGGUGCGAAAGCGUGGGGA